CUGAUACCUUGCAAUUGGCAACAUCUAUUGAUUACUUUCAUAAAAUGAAUUAUUAUGAGAGUCAACGUUUUAUUGAACAGUACAAAGUAUAGUUUUUAUAUUGUAUUAAUUUUAUUUUAAAUAUCAAUAUGUUGAUAUAUGAUUUAAUAAAAUCCUGAAUAAUUUACACCUACAUUUAUGAGAAGUCAGUCUUUUGCUUGUGAUGAAAAACUGUGUGUCCCGUAAAAACCCAAAUUUCACUUUGGAAGAUGUAAAGUUAAUCAUGGAUGCUGAGUUUUAUCCAAACUUGUAUAAACUAUUAUCAUUAUCAUUAACAAUUCCAAUCAGCUUUGCGACAUGUGAAAGGUCAUUCUCAUCAAUGAGGAAGAUUAAAAAUUGGCUUUGAACUUCGAUGAAUCAAGAUAGAUUUACCAAUUUAUCAAUAAUUUAUAUAGAUUAUAUUUAUUAGUUAUUUAAUACUAAAAACUAGUUUUUUUUUUUUUUUU